rnacentral:sRNA from 1 species
AUCAAUCUGUGACUGGGCGUCUACUCUAAAUCUAGCCAAAGUCCAAAUGGAAUCGGUUUGAUUACUUGACUAUGGUAACAAAGACGUCAAAAAACAUAACCCCAAUAUUUGGAUAAGUGAUAAAAAUUCUCCCAAUUUCGUCGUUAAAAAAAAUCGAGGCCGUUGUUUUUACCGAGAGUAGACAAAAAAAAACUUUGCUGAUGAGCGCUUCGCAAACGAAAAUCGUAUGAAGAAUUUUACUUUGCCUGCUGCUGAUGCUUGAUGCAGGGGGUGGAUGUGGGAGGUGGGGUCGAUUAUAAUUGGUUGUGUUGUCGUACUUGUACUCGCGUUUAUUUUUAUCGUCCGCAAACAAAUAAACAAAAUUCUGUUGAAAUGGCUUUUGUAUGCCUUAUCCGUGGUUGUAGUUCGUCCUAAUUCGAUUCGUUUUGCUUUCGAGAUGAGACAGACCACCAAAUAAUUGGAAGAGUAGACGGUGCAAGAGCACAUUCACGUUUCAAUUGAUUUCAAUUAAAGCGAGUGUCACAAAUUAAUUUCCAGCCGAAUUGGGAUGUUUGCUUUACGCCGUAUUUUCGCGGCUAUCGAAAUGUGUUCUUAAUGCUGCGGCACUCGUGACACGAGUGAGGAGGAGGAACAUCUACAACUUGGCAAGAGACUGUGUGUGUCUAAAUAAAGUUUCAGAAAAUCAAGACUUUCUUACGUUUGUUGUGCCCUUAAAUACAGUCCUCUUAAGUCUCAAAGUUGGUUAUCAGUUCCACACCAGCUGCUUAUACAGUUCACAAAAGCACCAACCCCCAAUUAGCCAGCUGUUACAUGGUCCAUACGAGCCUUCUUUAUAGCAGAGCUACAGUUCUUUUCAUCAUGACAGAUCAAUUUCGCAACAAAGAAGGCAAAACCUCCAAAGCGAAACAAGCCGAAUUGAUUGCAUUUUUCAAAUCUUAAAAUCAUUCACCUGAAAAUUUAUUUGCCAACUGUAGUGGCGGUGAGGUGGUCAGACAUCUGUACAACGCUGUCGAAAAAUCAGCCACUACUGGACCGACAAAAAGCACUGGGUCGUUAGCUCAAAGGAUAGAUAUUUGCAAUACAUUACAAGUGAUCGAAAAUUUUCAACUUAUUCCACUUGAACACAUUCCUCCAAUGGAGUACAGAUGCUGAAAAUCAACUUUCCACGGACGUUAAAUAUCGUUACCAAAUUGUUGUGAAGUUAGAAGGAGGUCAGUAUAGCUUUUGAUGUCACAACGGGACACAUAGGACUACGAGCUCACUCAUGCAAAA